UGCAGUCGAGCGGACCGACGGGAGCUUGCUCCCUUAGGUCAGCGGCGGACGGGUGAGUAACACGUGGGUAACCUGCCUGUAAGACUGGGAUAACUCCGGGAAACCGGGGCUAAUACCGGAUGCUUGAUUGAACCGCAUGGUUCAAUCAUAAAAGGUGGCUUUUAGCUACCACUUACAGAUGGACCCGCGGCGCAUUAGCUAGUUGGUGAGGUAACGGCUCACCAAGGCGACGAUGCGUAGCCGACCUGAGAGGGUGAUCGGCCACACUGGGACUGAAACACGGCCCAGACUCCUACGGGAGGCAGCAGUAGGGAAUCUUCCGCAAUGGACGAAAGUCUGACGGAGCAACGCCGCGUGAGUGAUGAAGGUUUUCGGAUCGUAAAACUCUGUUGUUAGGGAAGAACAAGUACCGUUCGAAUAGGGCGGUACCUUGACGGUACCUAACCAGAAAGCCACGGCUAACUACGUGCCAGCAGCCGCGGUAAUACGUAGGUGGCAAGCGUUGUCCGGAAUUAUUGGGCGUAAAGCGCGCGCAGGCGGUUUCUUAAGUCUGAUGUGAAAGCCCCCGGCUCAACCGGGGAGGGUCAUUGGAAACUGGGGAACUUGAGUGCAGAAGAGGAGAGUGGAAUUCCACGUGUAGCGGUGAAAUGCGUAGAGAUGUGGAGGAACACCAGUGGCGAAGGCGACUCUCUGGUCUGUAACUGACGCUGAGGCGCGAAAGCGUGGGGAGCGAACAGGAUUAGAUACCCUGGUAGUCCACGCCGUAAACGAUGAGUGCUAAGUGUUAGAGGGUUUCCGCCCUUUAGUGCUGCAGCAAACGCAUUAAGCACUCCGCCUGGGGAGUACGGUCGCAAGACUGAAACUCAAAGGAAUUGACGGGGGCCCGCACAAGCGGUGGAACAUGUGGUUUAAUUCGAAGCAACGCGAAGAACCUUACCAGGUCUUGACUCCUCUGACAACCUAAAAAUAGGGCUUCCCCUUCGGGGGCAAAGUGACAGUGUGCUUG
rnacentral:rRNA from 1 species